rnacentral:rRNA from 1 species
GACGAACGCUGGCGGCGUGCUUAACACAUGCAAGUCGAACGGUAAGGCCCUUCGGGGUACACGAGUGGCGAACGGGUGAGUAACACGUGGGUGAUCUGCCCUGCACUUCGGGAUAAGCCUGGGAAACUGGGUCUAAUACCGGAUAGGACCACUGCCUGCAUGGGUGGUGGUGGAAAGCUUUUGCGGUGUGGGAUGGGCCCGCGGCCUAUCAGCUUGUUGGUGGGGUGAUGGCCUACCAAGGCGACGACGGGUAGCCGGCCGGAGAGGGUGACCGGCCACACUGGGACUGAGAUACGGCCCAGACUCCUACGGGAGGCAGCAGUGGGGAAUAUUGCUCAAUGGGCGCAAGCCUGAUGCAGCGACGCCGCGUGAGGGACGACGGCCUUCGGGUUGUAAACCUCUUUCAGCACCGACGAAGCGCAAGUGACGGUAGGUGCAGAAGAAGGACCGGCCAACUACGUGCCAGCCGCCGCAGUAA